AGAAACUUGUAGACACCAUCGAUGCGUUGCUGCUCAUCCAAUUCAUAGCAAUCGGACUUGGCAGGCUGGAAAUAAACUACGAAAAGAGCAGACCAAAGUACGCACAUGGGUUAUACGGCUGUCCCGCUCUCACUUAUGGAACAGCAUAGGCAAUUCCGCAUCAGUGUUGCAAUGUGUGCAAGUGAGAUGAGAUUUUAAUCGUUACUCAGGCACAAAUGGCAACACCCAUCAGUGAAUAAACGUUACUACUUAAAAUACAACUCUGCAUCUAGUACUUUAUUUUUGUUUUUAUUCUUGCCCAGCAGUGUUGAUGACAUAUGUACGUACAAAAUACAAUACUAAUGGCUAAUAAGUAAAAUGCUGGAAACGAAAAUAAUAAUUGCUAAUUGGUUAACUGCUAAACAGUAAUGUAUUAUGAAUUAAUUUAUGUAUUUCUAUUUCAUUUUAGAGAACUCAGGCAUAAGUUCAUUUGGUUUGCAGUAAUCGUAACUACAGUGUAAUUAUUCUGAAAUAAAGAAAAAUUGUUUUUAAUUAUACAGUUGUAAUUUAGGAUAAUGCAUUACACCCGCUACCCGCUACAAGGAUGUUAUAAUUAUUAUUUUUAUAGGGCCAACGGAAGACUAAAAGACAGACUGAGCCGUUUGAUAUCAUGAUGUGUGUCUGAUCUCGGAGAUUAUAAUAAAACUCCUAGGUGGAUUAAUAUUGUGUCAAAUUUUGAAAUAGAUAAUGGUUUUUUUGGAAUAUCAGAAAAUUAAUCGCAGCUUGAUCCAUUUUAAUGAAAGCGGGCAGCGGGUAUUUAACACAUUCGACUUUGGCGUUGGCGUUCUACUGAUUUUGCAAACUAACUUUUUAUGACAAACCCAUUGAAUGAAUACUGUUCUAUCUGCUUCGUGGGUGUAAACUCGACUCUUUCAAUCACACUGGCGGGACUGCCUUUGGUCUCAAGCCAAUGUUUCCUGCAAACGACUUUCAAUUAAGAAGGCACCGAAUAAAGCAAUUUUCCAAUUUACAUUUGAUUCAGAGGAAUAAGAGGUGCUUCCAAUUCGCCCUUAACUGUUCCAUUGAUGGUAUUAACGCACCAGCCUCGUACUCCUAAGGUGUUUGCCUUCCUCUCCGUGUACUAUAAUCACAUAUGAACCAAAUGGAAUGUCCAUGACCCUUAUAAUCAUAAGUCCUAGUUAAAUAAUUUGACGCUCUUACCUUGCGAAAGAAGACACCUGCAAAGUAGGAAAGUGAAAUUAUAAAUUUACAAAGGUGAAAGAAGCGAUUUGGGAUCAACAGACGGGAUCAUUAUUAUAAUACCUUGGACUUUUCCAAAUACUUCAAAGCAACACGUAUAUAAUGCUGACGACGACAUUUUAUUUCCCGUUGCUGGAGAAGAUAUUAGUGCGAUUGCAAUUAAUAUUAUUUGUAUUUUGACAACUAAAUCU